CGACAGCCAACAACCUCACAUCCAUGAUCCAGCACCCUCCCUCUACCUCUUCUCCCACCACCCAACCCUUCUCUUUCUCUCUCUUUGACAUCCACGAAACUCAAGUUCUAUAUAUGAGAUUUUUUUUCUUCUUCUUUUAACUGGACUGACAUACACAAAAUUGAAUUUGAUCUAGGUUGGGUUUUAGGUGGGUGUGGGGUGGGAUGGUCGUGGUGGAGGGGUUGGCUAGCAGGCUAGGGUGGUUAGAAUCGAGGGGGAUGGGGGAUGGGGGAUGGGCUGGGAUGGAUGAAUUUUCUCCCCUUUUUUUCUAAUAU
rnacentral:lncRNA from 1 species